rnacentral:rRNA from 1 species
UACGUAGGGUGCAAGCGUUGUCCGGAAUUAUUGGGCGUAAAGAGCUCGUAGGCGGUUUGUCGCGUCGGCUGUGAAAACUCGGGGGCUCAACCCCGAGCCUGCAGUCGAUACGGGCAGACUAGAGUGCUGUAGGGGAGACUGGAAUUCCUGGUGUAGCGGUGAAAUGCGCAGAUAUCAGGAGGAACACCGGUGGCGAAGGCGGGUCUCUGGGCAGUAACUGACGCUGAGGAGCGAAAGCGUGGGGAGCGAACAGG